rnacentral:lncRNA from 1 species
GUCUUUUUCUGUUCUGUAGAUAGGCUCAUCUGUGCCAAUGCUUUUUUUUUUUUUUUUUUUUGUCUUUUUAGGGCCACACCCAUAGCAUAUGAAGGUUCCCAGGCUAGGGGUCAAAUCAGAGCUGUAGCCACCCGCCUACACCACAGCCACAGCAGCCAGAUCCAAGCCAUGUCUGCAACCUACACCACAGCUCCUGGCAAUGCUGGAUCCUUAACCCACGGAGCAAGGCCAGGGAUCGAACCUGCAUCUUCAUGGAUCCUAGUCGGAUUUGUUUCUGCUGAGCCACGAGGCCAGCACCCAUCUCUGCCACAUUCUAGAUUCCACAUAUAAUAGCUCCUUGCCAUCUGCUUCUCCAACUUCAGCUUCAGGAACCUACUUUGGUUUUCGGGUGACCAAGAAAAUUUCUCCCUUUCUCAAAAGAAGAGUCAACCACACAGCGUACGUGCCUCACCAAGGAAUUCAUCUGAAUUUCUAGAUCUCUUGCUUACUUAGAGACAGAACUCAAUUAAUUAUGUGCCAAUUAGUUAUUAGUUGCCUAAGAAAUUGCAAAAGACUAUGCCCCAGGCUUUGAUGGAGCACAGUUUCUUAGUGCAGUUUCUCAAAAUAUAAAUCAAGGGCAAAGGUUUAUAAUCAAAUUUCAUAAGUUUAGAAAUCAGUUUUGCUUUGAAAUCAACAUAAUUUGAUCUCAGGCAUUUCUUGGGACUAGAGGAAACAUUUUUACUUCAUGUUGUUUGCCUAAAAAGAAGAGUCAAAAAAACAAAAACUCUCUGGAAGAUCUACAUUCCCCAGAUUCAUCUUAACUAGUGAAGAUGAACGAAAACAUCUGUCCAGUCCCCUCUUUAAAGAUCUUCGUAGGAGGAAUUCUGGGCAUGUGAAAGGAGUCAAGGUCACAGUGUAGGCCUCCGUCUACCAUCCUGCCAGGUCUGCAAGGAACUCAGGGCGUUGCAAGGAACUCAGUUCUGGCGUCCUGCUAAGGAUAAGUAGAAGGCAUUGACUCUUCACUAUGUGGUUGCUUUCAACAAAAUUUAUGAGAAAGCAAAAGGAAGUUUCUAAACUACUGCCAGAUGGCAAGAACUUGGAGCACUGAAAUGAGACUAAAACCCAAUCAGAAAGAAGCAUAACCUAUUUAGGACAAGACAUCGGGGCCUCUUGUGAAACUGAAGCAUUUCCAAAUCUUCUGUAAAGACAUAAAGUCUGACCAGACAAAAUUAUUUCCUAGGUGUAACAUUCAGAAAUCAAAGUCAUACCUGAGUGACAACAGUCUCCCAUUUGCUGUCUGUUCUUUGUUCUUAAGUGAGUUUCUUCUCUGUUGAAGCUGCUUUUGAAGAAU